GUUGUGGCUCAGUGGUAGAGCGUUUGCCUGGCAUGUGUGAGGCCCUAGGUUUGAUCCUUAGCACCACA
rnacentral:tRNA from 1 species